GUAACUGGAAAAGAUUGGGGGGAAUCCAUAAAAAUCUAGGCAGAUUCCAUAGUCAAAUUGAUUUUCAGCCAUCUUUGGGUUUUUUCCUCUCCUUUAAAGAAACUGAACCUGAAAAUCAAGCAGAUUUCUGGCUUUACGAGAGAGACAGUUAGGAAUUCCAGACUGUGGAUGGGCCCCUGUUUAAAAAUAAGGCAUUGCUCCUGUACCAAGCUUGUGAAUAAGUGUA